AGCGAACGCUGGCGGCAGGCUUAACACAUGCAAGUCGAACGGGCUUCUUCGGAAGUCAGUGGCAGACGGGUGAGUAACACGUGGGAACGUGCCCUUCGGUUCGGAAUAACUCAGGGAAACUUGAGCUAAUACCGGAUACGCCCUUUUGGGGAAAGGUUGCCUGCCGAAGGAUCGGCCCGCGUCUGAUUAGCUUGUUGGUGGGGUAACGUCCUACCAAGGCGACGAUCAGUAGCUGGUCUGAGAGGAUGAUCAGCCACACUGAGACUGAGACACAGCCCAGACUCCUACGGGAGGCAGCAGUGGGGGAUAUUGGAAAAUGGGCGCAGGCCUGAUCCAGCCAUGACGCGUGAGUGAUGAAGGCCUUAGGGUUGUAAAGCUCUUUUGUCCGGGACGAUAAUGACGGUACCGGAAGAAUAAGCCCCGGCUAACUUCGUG
rnacentral:rRNA from 1 species